AUGACUCGGGGAAUAGAUGACAGCAGUGAUAUAACUGGUAUAACAAUAAUAAAAGUAUAUCACUGGGCCUGGACAUUAUGAAUAUACACAAGUGAGUUGAUGCAUCACUGAUUUACGUGAUAAAUGUGUGUUAUAAAUAUACUCGCAUACUUAUUAAGUAAUAGUCCUGUCACUGUGGGUAUGAGAUAUAUGUGUGUUUGUGUGUGUGUGUGUGUGUGUGUGUGUGUGUGUGAGAGAGAGAGAGAGAGAGAGAGAGAGAGAGAAUA